GAUGAAGAACGUAGCGAAAUGCGAUAAGUAAUGUGAAUUGCAGAGUUCAGUGAAUCAUCGAAUCUUUGAACGCACAUUGCGCCCCCUGGCAUUCCGGGGGGCAUGCCUGUCCGAGCGUCAUUUCUGCCCUCCAGCCCGGCUGGGUGUUGGGCGCUGUCCCCCCGGGGACACGCCCCAAAGGCAGUGGCGGCGCCGCGUCGGGUCCUCGAGCGUAUGGGGCUUUGUCACCCGCUCGGGACGGACUCGUCGGCGCUGGUCUUCCUCCAGGCGACCCUUCGGGGCUCGUCUUCCUUCGGUUGACCUCGGAUCAGGUAGGGUUACCCGCUGAACUUAAGCAUAUCAAUAAGCGGAGGA
rnacentral:misc_RNA from 1 species